CAGAAAUUUGUGAAGACCUACCUGCCAUGGAACAUGACUCAGAAACUCCUCAUGAUUGCUUUGAACAGAUGAAGAUGGAAACUACCCACUUGCCAACUGUGCACGAAGCUGCUCUACUCAACCCAGACCAGACACUGUUUGUGGAUGGCUCCAGAUUUGCUGAUGAACAAGGGCAGUAUCACAGUGGGUAUGCAGUUACUACAGAAAGCCAGAUAUUACAGGCAGCC
rnacentral:lncRNA from 1 species